UUCCAGACUCCUACGGGAGGCAGCAGUGGGGAAUAUUGCACAAUGGGGGAAACCCUGAUGCAGCGACGCCGCGUGAGCGAUGAAGUAUUUCGGUAUGUAAAGCUCUAUCAGCAGGGAAGAAGAUGACGGUACCUGACUAAGAAGCCCCGGCUAACUACGUGCCAGCAGCCGCGGUAAUACGUAGGGGGCAAGCGUUAUCCGGAUUUACUGGGUGUAAAGGGAGCGUAGACGGCCAGACAAGUCUGAAGUGAAAAUCCAGCGCUUAACGUUGGAAGUGCUUUGGAAACUGCCGGGCUAGAGUGCAGGAGGGGCAGGCGGAAUUCCUAGUGUAGCGGUGAAAUGCGUAGAUAUACGGAGGAACACCAGUGGCGAAGGCGGAUUGCUGGACAGUAACUGACGCUGAGGCGCGAAAGCGUGGGGAGCAAACAGGAUUAGAUACCCCUGUAUAG
rnacentral:rRNA from 1 species